rnacentral:rRNA from 1 species
CAGCCGCCGCGGUAAUACGGAGGAUCCAAGCGUUAUCCGGAAUCAUUGGGUUUAAAGGGUCCGUAGGCGGUCUUGUAAGUCAGUGGUGAAAGCCCAUCGCUCAACGGUGGAACGGCCAUUGAUACUGCAGGACUUGAAUUAUUGGGAAGUAACUAGAAUAUGUAGUGUAGCGGUGAAAUGCUUAGAGAUUACAUGGAAUACCAAUUGCGAAGGCAGGUUACUACCAAUUGAUUGACGCUGAUGGACGAAAGCGUGGGUAGCGAACAGGAUUAGAUACCCCAGUAAUCCCUGUCUCUUAUAC